CCCUUAGAUGUUCUGGGCCGCACGCGCGCUACACUGACGGAGUCAACGAGUUGUCCUGCAUCGGAAGGUGUGGGUAAUCUUUUGAAACUUCGUCGUGCUGGGGAUAGAUCUUUGCAAUUUUCGAUCUUGAACGAGGAAUUCCUAGUAAGCGUGAUUCAUCAGAUCGCGUUGAUUACGUCCCUGUCCUUUGUACACACCGCCCGUCGCUACUACCGAUUGAAUGGUUUAGUGAGGCCUCGGGACUGGCGCGCUCGAGUAGCAAUACACCUGCGCGCCGGGAACUUGGUCAAACUUGAUCAUUUAGAGGAAGUAAAAGUCGUAACA
rnacentral:rRNA from 1 species